rnacentral:piRNA from 1 species
UCUCAUCACACUCCACACUCU